CCUACGGGGGGCAGCAGUGGGGAAUAUUGGACAAUGGGCGAAAGCCUGAUCCAGCCAUGCCGCGUGUGUGAAGAAGGCCUUCGGGUUGUAAAGCACUUUCAGUGGGGAAGAAAGCCUUGGGGCUAAUACCCUCGAGGAAGGACAUCACCCACAGAAGAAGCACCGGCUAACUCCGGUGCCAGCAGCCGCGGUAAUACGGAGGGUGCGAGCGUUAAUCGGAAUUACUGGGCGUAAAGCGCGCGUAGGCGGUCUGAUAAGCCGGUUGUGAAAGCCCCGGGCUCAACCUGGGAACGGCAUCCGGAACUGUCAGGCUAGAGUGCAGGAGAGGAAGGUAGAAUUCCCGGUGUAGCGGUGAAAUGCGUAGAGAUCGGGAGGAAUACCAGUGGCGAAGGCGGCCUUCUGGACUGACACUGACGCUGAGGUGCGAAAGCGUGGGUAGCAAACAGGAUUAGAUACCCGUGUAGUC
rnacentral:rRNA from 1 species